GGCGGUCUCCUCCCAAAGAGUAACGGAGGAGCACGAAGGUUGGCUAAGCAUGGUCGGACAUCAUGCGGUUAGUGCAAAGGCAUAAGCCAGCUUGACUGCGAGAGUGACGGCUCGAGCAGGUACGAAAGUAGGUCUUAGUGAUCCGGUGGUUCUGAAUGGAAGGGCCAUCGCUCAACGGAUAAAAGGUACUCCGGGGAUAACAGGCUGAUACCGCCCAAGAGUUCAUAUCGACGGCGGUGUUUGGCACCUCGAUGUCGGCUCAUCACAUCCUGGGGCUGAAGUAGGUCCCAAGGGUACGGCUGUUCGCCGUUUAAAGUGGUACGCGAGCUGGGUUUAGAACGUCGUGAGACAGUUCGGUCCCUAUCUGCCGUGGGCGUUGGAAGAUUGAAAGGGGCUGCUCCUAGUACGAGAGGACCGGAGUGGACGCACCACUGGUGUUCGGGUUGUCAUGCCAAUGGCAUUGCCCGGUAGCUAAGUGCGGAAGAGAUAACCGCUGAAAGCAUCUAAGCGGGAAACUUGCCUUGAGAUGAGUCUUCCCUGACCCUUUAAGGGUCCUAAAGGAACGUUUAAGACUAAGACGUUGAUAGGUUGGGUGUGUAAGCAUAGCGAUAUGUUGAGCUAACCAAUACUAAUGAACCGUGAGGCUUAACCUG
rnacentral:rRNA from 1 species